GCCGGGUGUGGUGGCGGGCACCUGUAAUCCCAGCUACUUGGGAGGCUGAGGCAGGAGAAUUGCUUGAACCCAGGAGAUGAAGGUUGCAGUGAGCCAAGAUCAUGCCAUUGCACUCCAGCCUGGGUGACAGAGCAAGUCUCUGUCUCAA
ensembl:misc_RNA Metazoa_SRP Metazoan signal recognition particle RNA